rnacentral:tRNA from 1 species
CAUUAGAUGGCUGAAUGCAAGCACUGAUCUCUUAAAUCAUCCUAUAGUAAAUUAGCAAUUACUUCUAAUGA